UAAUUUCAUUAAGUUAAAUGAUGAGCGUAAAUUUAAAUGCAUUAUUUAUAUAUAGGAUAAUAAUUAAUCUGAUAACUCCGGUUAUUAGUACCAAUAAAAUAAUGAGUACUAAAUUUCGUAUCGGAAGAAUCAGCAAACGAUUUAAAUCAAAUAAACUAAUAAAUGGACAGUAAAUAUAGAAGUUUUAAAAAUUGAAUAGUCGGAACAAAACAGACCAUAUAUGGUUUAGAUAAGUUCUAUACAUUUUCACUAUUUUUCUGUUCUAAAAAAAUUUCAAAAGUU
rnacentral:lncRNA from 1 species